GCCUUCGUGGUGUAGUGGUCACCACGCUGGACGCGUACUCCAAAGGUCUGUGGUUCGAAUCCCGGCGAAGAUG
rfam:Stegodyphus mimosarum contig48647, whole genome shotgun sequence.